rnacentral:rRNA from 1 species
GACGAACGCUGGCGGCGUGCUUAACACAUGCAAGUCGAACGGAAAGGCCCCUUUGGGGGUACUCGAGUGGCGAACGGGUGAGUAACACGUGAGUAACCUGCCCUUGACUUCGGGAUAACUUCAGGAAACUGGGGCUAAUACCGGAUAGGAAUCCUUGCUGCAUGGUGGGGGUUGGAAAGCUUCGGCGGUUUUGGAUGGACUCGCGGCUUAUCAGCUUGUUGGUGGGGUAGUGGCUUACCAAGGCUUUGACGGGUAGCCGGCCUGAGAGGGCGACCGGCCACAUUGGGACUGAGAUACGGCCCAGACUCCUACGGGAGGCAGCAGUGGGGAAUAUUGCACAAUGGGCGGAAGCCUGAUGCAGCAACGCCGCGUGCGGGAUGACGGCCUUCGGGUUGUAAACCGCUUUCAGCAGGGGCGAAGCUUUGUGACGUACCUGC